AUACUUACCUAAACGGGAUGUAUGAGUGAUCAAUGAAGCCCAUGGACUAGGUUGGUGACAUCCAUUACACUCAGGAGGGGUGCCUGUCUAAGGUCUACUUAAGUAGUAGAGCCUACGUCAUAAUUGGUGGUAAUGGGGUCUGCGUUCGAGGCCCAGU